AUUGAACGCUGGCGGCAGGCCUAACACAUGCAAGUCGAACGAGUGGCGGACGGGUGAGUAAUGUAUGGGAAACUGCCUGAUGGCGGGGGAUAACUACUGGAAACGGUAGCUAAUACCGCAUACCAUCAGAUGGGCCCAGAUUGGAUGAGCUGGUUGGUGGGGUAAAGGCUCACCAAGGCCACGAUCCCUAGCUGGUUUUAGAGGAUGACCAGCCACACUUGAACUGAGACACGGCCCAGACUCCUACGGGAGGCAGCAGUGGGGAAUUUUGCACAAUGGGCGCAAGCCUGAUGCAGCCAUCCCGCGUGUAUGAUGAAGGCCUUCGGGUUGUAAAGUACUUUCGGCAGGGAGGCGUUACCCGCAGAAUAAGCACCGGCUAACUCCGUGCCAGCAGCCGCGGUAAUUC
rnacentral:rRNA from 1 species